rnacentral:rRNA from 1 species
GUAGGGGGCUAGCGUUGUCCGGAAUCAUUGGGCGUAAAGAGCGUGUAGGCGGCCCGGUAAGUCCGCUGUGAAAGUCGGGGGCUCAACCCUCGAAUGCCGGUGGAUACUGUCGGGCUAGAGUGCGGAAGAGGCGAGUGGAAUUCCUGGUGUAGCGGUGAAAUGCGCAGAUAUCAGGAGGAACACCGAUUGCGAAGGCAGCUCGCUGGGACGUAACUGACGCUGAGACGCGAAAGCGUGGGGAGCAAACAGGAUUAGAUACCCUGGUAGUCCACGCUGUAAACGAUGGGCACUAGGUGUGGGGGGUGUCGACUCCCUCCGUGCCGAAGCUAACGCAUUAAGUGCCCCGCCUGGGGAGUACGGCCGCAAGGCUA